rnacentral:rRNA from 1 species
GAGUUUGAUCUUGGCUCAGAUUGAACGCUGGCGGCAUGCCUUACACAUGCAAGUCGAACGGCAGCAUGAUCUAGCUUGCUAGAUUGAUGGCGAGUGGCGAACGGGUGAGUAAUACAUCGGAACGUGCCCUGUAGUGGGGGAUAACUAGUCGAAAGAUUAGCUAAUACCGCAUACGACCUGAGGGUGAAAGUGGGGGACCGCAAGGCCUCAUGCUAUAGGAGCGGCCGAUGUCUGAUUAGCUAGUUGGUGGGGUAAAGGCCCACCAAGGCGACGAUCAGUAGCUGGUCUGAGAGGACGAUCAGCCACACUGGGACUGAGACACGGCCCAGACUCCUACGGGAGGCAGCAAUGGGGAAUUUUGGACAAUGGGCGAAAGCCUGAUCCAGCAAUGCCGCGUGUGUGAAGAAGGCCUCGG